AUGGUUCAUCAAGCAGAGUCAGAUGGCAUGUUUUUGACGAGUGUAUCACAUAUACAAAGGUUAACUUGGGAGACAAUAAAGAGCUGAUGUUGGAAGCAAUCAAGCAUUCUUUGCAGUGCAAAUGCAAGGGAUAUGAUGGAGUAAUGAUCGUUGGUUUUGAUGACUUCAAUGGGAAGAUGGCUUGUAUUUGAUGGUG